GCCUUCAUGAAGCCGGAAUUGCUAGUAAUGGCAGGUCAGCAUACUGCCGUGAAUACGGUUCCCGGGCCUUGUACACACCGCCCGUCACACCAUGAGAGUCGGGAACACCCGAAGUCCGUAGCCUAACCGCAAGGGGGGCGCGGCCGAAGGUGGGUUCGAUAAUUGGGGUGAAGUCGUAACAAGGUAAC
rnacentral:rRNA from 1 species